rnacentral:rRNA from 1 species
GUCUACAGCCAUGCUACCUUGAACAAAUCCGAUCCUGUCUGAUCUCGGAAGCUAAGCAGGGUCAGGCCUGGUUAGUACUUGCAUGGGAGACCACCUAGAGGGACCAGGUGCUGUAGGCA